UUUCAUCAUCGCCGAUUCGCUGCAUUAGGUAGAAGUAGGUGGUGUUUCACGCGAUCAAAUUCGCUGACAGCCAAUGAGCAGAGAGUGACACUGCUUGUGGCUGAAACCAUAGAAACUAAACGGAAGUUUACCGUUGCGAGCUACGCUAACAAACAGCUACGAAGAUUUACGAGUACGUUUUUUUUCAUCUACUCGAACGCUUCAAAAGUAGCCUUAAUUCGACAUACAGGCGUAUAUCACAAGCAUACAACUGAUAUUUGCUCUCGUAAAUGCGCUGUUGCGUCUUAAAUCGCAGUUAGCUUGACGGCUAAUGGUACUCAGCCUCGAUACUACAAUGUUCAAAGCUAAAAUACUCCUAAUUGGUCCAAAUGAGAGUGGGAAAUCUGUCCUCGCAAAUUUUCUCUCAGACGCAACAGAAAAUGUUGGAGGCGAAUACAGACCCACUCAGGCAGUCAGAAUACUAGAAUUUGAAACACAAUUGGAUGGUUGCGGUGAGGUAAAAUCAUGCGAGGUUGAGCUCUGGGACUGCUCUGGCGACUUCAAGUUUGAGUCGUGCUGGCCUGCACUCACCAAGGACUGCAGUGGUGUGGUGCUCAUUUUUAAUCCAGACGUUCCAAGUCACUUGAAAGAAAUCGAGACCUGGCACUCGAUGUUCAUCUCCUCGCAGGGCUUGCAGGACAGCCAGUGUCUGCUCAUUGCACAUCACAAGCCCGGCAGUGCAAUAGAAGAAGGUCGACUGCCUUUAGCCUCACAGCUGAGCAGACUUCCACUUAUUCAUUCUGAAAUGGAGGAGGAGCCCGAGGACCUGAGGCGAGCUUUUUGCAGCUACCUGGGGAAAGUUGUAAAUACACUUUCGGAAUGUCGGGAGCGGGAGGAGAUGUCCAUCAUCACCUAGCAACAAAAUCUCUUAAAAAUUUGCAGUCCGCCAGCUGGUGCUGAAGUCUGCCCGGGAGGCUCAUGGCGGCCAGAUGGUGAUCGCACACAGACACAGACACACGCACACGGGUAGCACAUCCUCCAGCAAAGAUCUACCUCAGUCAACCCCGCGACACACGGCUUGCAUUUCAAAGGCGGAGGAAGCGCUUCGGUGUCGGAGUCUUUUUACCUGCUGCAAGAAGGCCACAAAUUUGCACAUGAAGUUGCCAAAAAUCCAACUGGGCAGCGGGUAGAGGGUGGCCGUGAAGGGAACGCAACACACCAGGAAGAUGAU